rnacentral:miRNA from 1 species
AAUUACAUGACAAAAUUUUCAACCCAGGGCUGAGUUCAACUCAGCCCUGGGUUGAAAAUUUUGUCAUGUAAU